rnacentral:rRNA from 1 species
UUCCGGUUGAUCCCGCCGGAGGCUACCGCUAUUGGAGUUCGAUUAAGCCAUGCGAGUCGCGAGUCUUAGGGACUCGGCGUACCGCUCAGUAACACGUGGGUAACCUGCCCUAUGCUGGGGGAUAACCUCGGGAAACUGAGAAUAAUACCCCAUAGUUCACCACGCCUGGAACGGUGGGUGGACCAAAGCUCCGGCGGCAUAGGAUGGGCCUGCGGCGUAUCAGGUUGUAGGGGGUGUAAUGUACCCUCUAGCCCUCUACGCGUACGGGUGUUGAGAGACAUCGCCCGGAGAUGGAUUCUGAGACACGAAUCCAGACCCUACGGGGUGCAGCAGGCGCGAAAACUUGGCAAUGCGAGAAAUCGUGACCAGGGAACUCCAAGUGCAUCGGGUAAGACCGAUGCUUUUCUUGACUCUUCAAAGGUCUUGGAAUAAGGGGUGGGUAAGGACGGUGCCAGCCGCCGCGGUAAUACCGGCGCCCCAAGUGGUAGUCGCUUUUAUUGGGCCUAAAACGUCCGUAGCCGGUCUGGUACAUUCGUGGGUAAAUCAACCAGCUCAACUGGUUGAAUUCUGCGAGCACGGCCAGACUUGGGACCGGGAGAGGUGUGGGGUACUCUCAGGGUAGGGGUAAAAUCCUGUCAUCCUGAGAGGACCACCUGUUGCGAAGGCGCCACACUAGAACGGAUCCGACGGUCAGGGACGAAGCCUAGGGGCACGAACCGGAUUAGAUACCCGGGUAGUCCUAGGUGUAAACGCUGUGGACUUGAUGUUGGGGGCGCUCCGAGCGCACUCAGUGUCGAAGCGAAGGUGAUAAGUCCACUGCCUGGGGAGUACGGUCGCAAGGCUGAACUUAAAGGAAUUGGCGGGGGAGCACCGCAACCUGAGGAUUGUGCGGUUUAAUUGGAUUCAACGCCGGA